rnacentral:rRNA from 1 species
UGGGGAAUAUUGGACAAUGGGCGCAAGCCUGAUCCAGCCAUGCCGCGUGAGUGAUGAAGGCCCUAGGGUUGUAAAGCUCUUUCACCGGUGAAGAUAAUGACGGUAACCGGAGAAGAAGCCCCGGCUAACUUCGUGCCAGCAGCCGCGGUAAUACGAAGGGGGCUAGCGUUGUUCGGAUUUACUGGGCGUAAAGCGCACGUAGGCGGACUAUUAAGUCAGGGGUGAAAUCCCGGGGCUCAACCCCGGAACUGCCUUUGAUACUGGUAGUCUUGAGUUCGAGAGAGGUGAGUGGAAUUCCGAGUGUAGAGGUGAAAUUCGUAGAUAUUCGGAGGAACCCCAGUGGCGAAGGCGGCUCACUGGCUCAAUACUGACGCUGAGGUGCGAAAGCGUGGGGAGCAAACAGG